CUACGGGGGGCUGCAGCGAGGAAUUUUGCGCAAUGGGGGAAACCCUGACGCAGCAACGCCGCGUGAGUGAUGAAGGCCUUCGGGUCGUAAAACUCUGUCAAGUGGGAAGAACCUAUGUAAGGUUAAUACCCUUAUGUACUGACGGUACCACUGAAGGAAGCACCGGCUAACUCCGUGCCAGCAGCCGCGGUAAUACGGAGGGUGCAAGCGUUAUUCGGAAUUAUUGGGCGUAAAGGGCGCGCAGGCGGUUUUGUAAGUCAGAUGUGAAAGCCCGGGGCUUAACCUCGGAAGUGCAUUUGAUACUGCAAGACUUGAGUAUGGGAGGGGGAAGUGGAAUUCCUGGUGUAGAGGUGAAAUUCGUAGAUAUCAGGAGGAACACCAGUGGCGAAGGCGACUUCCUGGACCAAUACUGACGCUGAGGCGCGAAGGCGUGGGGAGCAAACAGGAUUAGAUACCCGGGUAGUC
rnacentral:rRNA from 1 species